rnacentral:rRNA from 1 species
GCUAACGGCUGGCGGCGUGUCUUAGCCAUGCAAGUCGAGCGGACUUAUGGGGUAACUUAUAAGUCAGCGGCGGACGGCGGAGUAACACGUAGCUAACUUACCCUCUGGACGGGGAUAACCUACCGAAAGGUGGGCUAAUACCCGAUGUAGUCAUCCUGUAUAGGGGUGAUGAAAGGUGGGCUUCUGUUUACAAGCUCAUGCUGGAGGAGGGGGCUGCGGCCUAUCAGGUAGUUGGUAGGGUAAUAGCCUACCAAGCCGAUGACGGGUAGCCGGCCUGAGAGGGUGACCGGCCCGAGGGGCACUGAGAUACGGGUCCCACUCCUACGGGAGGCAGCAGGCUAGAAAUUUGGGCAAUGGGGGAAACCCUGACCCAGUGACGCCGCGUGCAGGAAGGAGCCCUUCGGGGUGUAAACUGCUGUCGUGUAGGGAGAAGGGUACUAAGGUGAACAAUCUUAGUACUUGACGGUACUACAGGAGGAAGCCCAGGCUAACCUCGUG